AAACUUUUAACAACGGAUCUCUUGGUUCUGGCAUCGAUGAAGAACGCAGCGAAAUGCGAUAAGUAAUGUGAAUUGCAGAAUUCAGUGAAUCAUCGAAUCUUUGAACGCACAUUGCGCCCCGUGGUAUUCCGCGGGGCAUGCCUGUUCGAGCGUCAUUU
rnacentral:rRNA from 4 species